GUUAGAAGUAGCGUUAGGAAUACACAAUCUCUUUAACAAGUUCCGGAGAACUGAUACAUUUCUUUUUCAUUGGCAUUGGCAUAAUGUCGAAUGUUGCAGAAUAAGUUAAUCCCUGCUGGGUUUUUUUUUAUGCACAAUACCUUUCUAAGUGCAUCCAAUUUGUGUCUCAUGACAAACUGUUGCAUGCUCCAUUCCAGAACAAUCAUUUACAUUUUUGCAAAAUGACUGUCUUUACCUUUACCUUAACCCUUUAAUGACCGGCGCCGUGCCAUAUGUGCCAUGAUUCAAUGGUAUUUGCUUAAACCCAUGUCAUGAAAGUGUUAAUUCUAUCUCAUUACAUUAUCUAUAUGCAUAAUGCUUGUCUAUAUUAACAUCCAGGCACCGGUUCAAUAUCUUCAAUCUCCACUUCAUUAGCCAAAGUAUGUAUAAUGGAAGAAACUAGUCCC